GAUGAACGCUGGCGGCGUGCUUAACACAUGCAAGUCGAACGAUGAAGCCCAGCUUGCUGGGUGGAUUAGUGGCGAACGGGUGAGUAACACGUGAGUAACCUGCCCUUAACUCUGGGAUAAGCCUGGGAAACUGGGUCUAAUACCGGAUAGGAGCGUCCACCGCAUGGGGGGUGUUGGAAAGAUUUAUCGGUUUUGGAUGGACUCGCGGCCUAUCAGCUUUUUGGUGAGGGAAUGGCUCACCAAGGCGACGACGGGUAGCCGGCCUGAGGGGGUGACCGGCCACCAUGGGCCUGCGGCACGGCCCAGACUGCUACGGGAGGCAGCAGUGGGGAAUAUUGCCCAAUGGGCGCACGCCUGAUGAAGCGACGCCGCGUGUGGGAUGACGGCCUUCGGGUUGUAAACCUCUUUCAGUAGGGAAGAAGCGAAAGUGACGGUACCUGCAGAAGAAGCACCGGCUAACUACGUG
rnacentral:rRNA from 1 species